UACGAGGGGGGCAAAUGUUGUUCGGAAUCACUGGGCGUAAAGGGCGCGUAGGCGGCCUUCUAAGUCGGACGUGAAAUCCCUCGGCUUAACCGAGGAACUGCGUCCGAGACUGAAAGGCUUGAAUCCGGGAGAGGGAUGUGGAAUUCCAGGUGUAGCGGUGAAAUGCGUAGAUAUCUGGAGGAACACCGGUGGCGAAGGCGGCAUCCUGGACCGGCAUUGACGCUGAGGCGCGAAAGCUAGGGGAGCAAACGGG
rnacentral:rRNA from 1 species